rnacentral:rRNA from 1 species
GAUGAACGCUGGCGGCGUGCUUAACACAUGCAAGUCGAACGGAAAGGCUCCUGCUUGCAGGGGGACUCGAGUGGCGAACGGGUGAGUAACACGUGGGAGAUCUGCCCUGCACUGCGGGAUAAGCGUGGGAAACUGGGUCUAAUACCGGAUAGGACCACAGUUUGGAGGGUGUGGUGGACAGGUUUUCGGUGUGGGGUGAGUUCGCGGCCUAUCAGCUUGGUGGUCGGGGAAUGGGCUACCAAGGCGGCGACGGGUAGCCGGCCUUAGAGGGGGGACGCCCCCCAUGGUCCUGCGAUACGCCCCAGUCUCCUACGGGAGGCAGUAGUCGGGAACCUUGUCCAAUGGGCCCACGCCUGAUGCAGAGAACUUGCGUGUGUGAUGCACGUCUUCGCGUUGUAAACUCCUUUCGCUAGGUACGAACCGCAAGUGACGGUACCUGGAGAAGAAGCACCGGCUAACUACGUG